rnacentral:ncRNA from 2 species
AAAUUAUCAAGAGUGGAGUAGAGAACGGCUCGUUAAUCCCACAGCAACCUAUCAUAAAGACAAGGUGCUAAAACCGUCAAAGCAAAUGGCUUUGAGUGAUGAUUA